rnacentral:rRNA from 1 species
UACGUAGGGACCAAGCGUUGUUCGGAUUUACUGGGCGUAAAGGGCGCGUAGGCGGCUUAACAAGUCACUUGUGAAAUCUCCGGGCUUAACUCGGAACGGCCAAGUGAAACUGUCAAGCUAGAGUGCAGAAGGGGCAAUCGGAAUUCUUGGUGUAGCGGUGAAAUGCGUAGAUAUCAAGAGGAACACCUGAGGUGAAGACGGGUUGCUGGGCUGACACUGACGCUGAGUGCGCGAAAGCCAGGGGAGCAAACGGG